rnacentral:rRNA from 1 species
GGCGGCGAUAUAAGUCAGAGGUGAAAGCCUGGAGCUCAACUCCAGAACUGCCUUUGAAACUAUAUUGCUAGAGUGUUGGAGGGGAUAGCGGAAUUGCUAAUGUAGAGGUGAAAUUCGUAGAUAUUAGCAGGAACACCGGUGGCGAAGGCGGCCAUCUGGACAACAACUGACGCUGAGGCGUGAAAGCGUGGGGAUCAAACAGGAUUAGAUACCCCAGUAGUCCACGCCGUAAACGAUGGAUGCUAGGCAUUGGCAGUAUCGACCCUGUCAGUGUCGUUCAACCAAGUUAACACCUUAAGCAUCCCGCCUGGGAAGUACGGCCGCAAGGCUAAAACUCAAAGGAAUUGACGGGAACCCGCACAAGCGGUGGAGCAUGUGGUUUAAUUCGACGCUAAGCGAAGAACCUUACCAAGGUUUGACAUGUUAGAAGUAUCCUGAAGGAAACUUUAGGGGACCGUUAAAUCGGAUUCUAAUACAGGUGCUGCAUGGCUGUCGUCAGCUCGUGUCGUGAGAUGUUGGGUUAAGUCCUCCAACGAGCGCAACCCUCGCCUUUAGUUACCAUCAUUUAGUUGGGUACUUUAAAGGAAUCCGCCGGUGAUAAGCCGGAGGAAGGUGGGGAUGACGUCAAGUCCUCAUGGCCUUUACGCGCUGGGCUACACACGUGCUACAAUGGCAGGUACAGUGGGCAGCAAUCCCGCGAGGGUGAGCUAAUCUCCAAAACCUGUCUCAGUUCGGAUUGUUCUCUGCAACUCGAGAGCAUGAAGGCGGAAUCGCU